CCUACGGGAGGCAGCAGUGGGGAAUAUUGCACAAUGGGCGCAAGCCUGAUGCAGCCAUGCCGCGUGUAUGAAGAAGGCCUUCGGGUUGUAAAGUACUUUCAGCGGGGAGGAAGGGAUGGUGCUUAAUACGCGCCGUCAUUGACGUUACCCGCAGAAGAAGCACCGGCUAACUCCGUGCCAGCAGCCGCGGUAAU
rnacentral:rRNA from 1 species